UGCGUAGGUGGCAGAACAAGUCUGGAGUAAAAGGUAUGGGCUCAACCCGUACUGGCUCUGGAAACUGUUCAGCUAGAGAACAGAAGAGGACGGCGGAACUCCAUGUGUAGCGGUAAAAUGCGUAGAUAUAUGGAAGAACACCGGUGGCGAAGGCGGCCGUCUGGUCUGUUGCUGACACUGAAGCACGAAAGCGUGGGGAGCAAAUA
rnacentral:rRNA from 1 species